UACGGAGGGUGCAAGCGUUAUCCGGAUUUACUGGGUUUAAAGGGUGUGUAGGCGGGCUUUUAAGUCAGUGGUGAAAUCUCCGGGCUCAACCUGGAAACUGCCAUUGAUACUAUUAGUCUUGAAUUUUGUUGAGGCAGGCGGAAUAAGUCAUGUAGCGGUGAAAUGCAUAGAUAUGACUUAGAACACCAAUUGCGAAGGCAGCUUGCUAAACAAAUAUUGACGCUGAGGCACGAAAGCGUGGGGAGUCAAACAG
rnacentral:rRNA from 1 species